rnacentral:rRNA from 1 species
GUAAUGGCGAACGAACAGGGAUCAGCUUGGGUUGGAAACCGGGGCUUCUGCCUUGGAUUGUGGCCUUUAGACAUACUACCAACGGCGGCGCGAGCGUAAGCCUCUUGGAACAGAGCGUCUACCUGGGUGAGAAUCCUGUGUUUCGCUUGAUGCCCGCCGUGCACGGUACUUGCUCUCAGAGUCACGCUCCUCGGAAUUGGAGCGUAAAUUGGGUGGUAAAUUUCAUCUAAAGCUAAAUACAGGCUCGAGACCGAUAGCAAACAAGUACCAUGAGGGAAAGAUGAAAAGGACUUUGAAAAGAGAGUUAAAAGUGCUUGAAAUCGCUGAACUGGAAGCGAAUGGAACUAGUGCUCUGGUUGAGAUUGCUGCAGGUGGCUGCAAAAUCUGGGCUCUGGAAUGCAAGUCCUUAGUCUAGUUUGGAGUAGUUGCUUGCAAUGUGUCUCAGCUUGAACAUCAACUUCCAUGCAUGUGUGAGGAUGGCCCUUGGCUCAUGCUGUCUUGCUGCGGUGAAAUUCUUGUGCCUUUUGGGACUCAGGCGUGUGUGGACUGUUGAUCAAUUAGUUCCAUUCGACACGUCUUGAAACACGG